GACAUCUCACUGGAUUUAUAAUUGCUGGACCUAUUUUAGAUAUAUUUGGCUAUAGAUGGAGUCUUACCCACAUAGCAUUUCUUAUAUUAUUAACUACUUUACUUUUGACAUGUCAGAUAUUGUCAAAAUAUUUACCAAAGAUUGAAGAUUUUAGAAAACUAUGGAACAACAAAGACGAAGGAAAACAUCUUCUGAAUUCCAAUAAACACCAACUUCAUGACCGUCCCUGAACGUCAAAAACUAAACAAUUUUCCAUUGACGUCGUAGUGGAAAUCUACAGCUGCCCACGCAAAUUCUUAUUGCUUUUAUUAUUAUUAGUUAAAAGGUUGCUGGGCUGGUAAAAGCUGUAAAGCGUUGGGAAAAAUGCCUUGCGUUAAUUGUUCCGUUUCUAUAUAUUUUGAGAUCAAACACUUCCGAGGUUAACUUUGGCUUUCAUUCCUCCGAAGCAAAUAAGAUAAUGUACAAAUCAAGCUCUGGGUUAGAUUAAAUUGACAGAUCUCUUCCUGUAAAUCUUCAGGUUCUUUGCCUAUAUUAGAAACAAUUAUUGUUAUUGGUUGAAAGGCAAAGCACAGGACACUAACUUGUGGAAUUUGUUCUGUUACUUUACAUUCUCAUUUCAAAUCCUCUCAUGGGCAACUUUGCCUUUCAUCUCUCUAGGAUUAAUAAAAUAAAGUACCAAUCAA